UUUUUUUUUUAAUUGUGAGGAUUAAUAAUGAGAAUUUGAUAAGAAAUAUUUUACAAAAAAAUAGGAUUUAAUUGUAGUUCUUAGCAUGGUAUUGAAAAAAUGUGGUCGUUUUAGGUGAAGGAAAGUAUUUGCUGUAUUAUAGUUGUUUUGUGUGCUGGCUUUCACUCAAACAAACCCAGCUCCAUCCAGAAAUUCAGAACCAUCGCAGAUGAUUACAGACCUCGCUGAGUGACCACAUAUUUUCCAAGAUAUAUAGAACCCCCGGAGGAGUUUGGGUGUUCAUGUUAGCUGAGGAGGGUCAAACCAGAGACCGCGGACAAUAAAAGAAACAAUGAAAAAAUGCUCACUGUUACACUUACCCCAUUGGUGGGGGAAGUGUGUCAGCCUUCAUUCGUUUAA